rnacentral:rRNA from 1 species
AUUGAACGCUGGCGGCAUGCUUUAUACAUGCAAGUCGAACGGCAGCGCGGGCUUCUUCCUGGUCGCAAGUUGCGAACGGGUGAGUAAUUCACCGGAACGUGCCCAACAGUUGGGGAUAGGCUGGCUAAAGGCAGAUUAAUAUCGCACAGGACCAGAGGGUGAAAGCGGGGGUCCGAAAGUCCUAGCGCGAUUGGAUGUCCCGAAGACGCAGUAGCUAGUUGGUAGGGUAACGGCUUACCAAGGCGACGAUCCGUAGCUGGUCUGAGAGGACGACCUGCCACACUGGGACUGAGACACGGCCCAGACUCCUACGGGAGGCAGCAGUAGGGAAUUUUGCACAAUGGGGGCAAGCCUGAUGCAGCAAUGCCGCGUGCGUGAAGAAGGUCUUCGGAUUGUAAAACGCUGUUAUUAGGGAAGAAAACCUCUGUACUUAUACCCGCACGGCAUGACGGUACCGAAAGAGUAAGCACCGGCUAACUACGUG